CGUGCGCCACUACACCCGGUGGUUUGCUUUUGUUCAUUCCAUUUUUUUUUUCUUUUUGGCAAGGAGUAGGGUAGUUGUGUGUUACCUAAUAAUCCAUCAUAGGCUCGUUCUUUUUUGCAGCAACAUCAAAAUUCUACAUAGAAACAGCAACUGCCAGAAACCUCAAGGUCUGAGUCAGUGGAGCCCUUACUGAAGGAUGGAAGACUCUGCAUUGGCAAGAAUAUAGAGGGGAGCCAGGUGUGGUGGAGCACGCC